CACAGAGAAAAAGCGGAAGAUGUCAAGUUCCCUUGUUGUUUCUGUUAAAAUUUUUUGAUGUUCUUCGAUAUAGAAACCUAGUCUUUGUGACUCAGAACCACUUGUCCGAGGCAGGUUUCCCGGCACUUUCCCUCCGUGCCCUGGCUUCCGGUUCUGCUUGGAGACUCUAGCGCACCUGAGCCUGCACGGAAGUGAGAGUCAGUUCUCUGGAUGGCCUGGGUCAUCACUCACCUCCCACUGUGGACCAGUACAGCCCUUCACGGUCCUCUAGGUCGCUGGAUGCUUAACUCUUCAGCCUGGAUGACCUCUGUUUGCCACCCAGACUCUGCUUCCCAACAUCAAAAGGAAACAAAGCAUCACCAGUUAAAGAAGCGACUUUCUUCACUCCUCUUAGUACCAAAGCCGCAAGACCCUUGAGGAUUAACAUCGAGGCCCUGGAGGAUUAACAUCAAGGCCCUUGAGGAUUAACAUCUCUACCAGAUGGGAUCAAACUCGGGUCCUUGUGCUUCCGCAGCAGGCAGCGAAACCACUGAGCUAAAUCCCUGAUCCGAGAUAGGAAACCUUUAAAGGCCGUGAGUGCAAAGAGGAGGCCAAAGCCGAUGUUUGGGAGAAAGACAGCGAGGAGAAUUUUGGAAUGAAGUGCUAUGUGCACAGUGGCAUGGAGUUAAGGGCUCUUCUACAAAGUUUUUG
ensembl:lncRNA